rnacentral:rRNA from 1 species
AUGGGGCCAACCCAAUGGUGGUUUCAGUUUGGAGGGGAUGUUCCUGCAUUGCAGAAAUGUGCAAUGAGAAUUUGCUCACAAUGUGUCUCCUCUAGUGGGUGUGAGAGAAAUUGGAGCGCUUUUGCUUUGGUGCACACAAAGCAAAGAAGUCGUCUUCUAUAUGACAAGGUCCACAAGCUAGUUUCUGUACGCUACAACUUAAAGAUACGUGCUGAAGAAGAUCAAGAGAAAGAGAGAGAUAUAGAUAAAGAAAUUGAUCCAAGUGCAUUGCUAAUGGAUACCACAAUGUUUGAUGAAACAAACCCAAUAAUGGAGUGGCUGAAUGAGGAUGUAGAGGAUCCGAUUGUGGAUGGAGCUGAUGCAGCUAGUGCUGUUUUUGAGCAAAUAAGGCGCCUCAACUCAAGCAGGAAGGCGUCUUAUGUUGGUUCAAAGGGUAAUAACAAGAAAAGAAAGAGGAAUGAUGAUGAUGAGAAUGAGUUUCUUGAAACUGAGAGUGAGGAUGAUGAAGAAGAGAAUGAAUAUGUUGAUAAUGACAUCGAGGAUGAUGAUGGGGUGAGUGAGGAUGAUGAGGAUGGUGAACAAGAUCAGCUAGAGACACAAAUGCAACUUGAAGAAGAGACACAAGUACAAGUUCAAAAGGAGGCACCAACAAGCACUGGCCAUUUGGAGACUAGAUCUGGACGACUUAUUAGGAAGAAGACCAAGAACGUCAACAGCCUCUACUCGUAA